rnacentral:rRNA from 1 species
UACGGAGGGUGCGAGCGUUGUCCGGAAUCAUUGGGCGUAAAGCGCGCGUAGGCGGCCUCAUAAGUCCGUUGUGAAAGUCAAAGGCUCAACCUUUGAAAGCCGAUGGAUACUGUGAGGCUAGAGUCCGGAAGAGGCGAGUGGAAUUCCUGGUGUAGCGGUGGAAUGCGCAGAUAUCAGGAGGAACACCAAUAGCGAAGGCAGCUCGCUGGGACGGUACUGACGCUAAGGCGCGAAAGCGUGGGGAGCGAACAGG